GUAAAGAAGAGCUUAUGCUCUUUUACAACAUUUGAAUAAAACAAAUUACUUUAAAGUAAAGAAGAGCUUAUGCACUUUUACAACAUUUGAAUAAAACAAAUUACUUUCAAGUAAAGAAGAGCUUAUGCUCUUUUACAACAUUUGAUCAAAUCAAAUUACAACCAAAAUCUAAUCUACACAUUCCCAUGGUUCAAACAAAUUUGAAACGGCCUUUCACAUAGCUCAAUUAUCGUAGACUUAGGUUCAUAAUCACCCUUUAAUUAAUUAACACUUUAACUAAUUAAAUUGAAUGCAGCAUUUUCAUUUGGUUUUUGUAUCCAUAAAAUUGAUUUAAAUGAAGCUAAAUGAAAUGAAAAUCCAAUUCUCAUUUAAAGAGACAAAACAAUUUUGUUCUCAACUUAAUUUGGGCCAAAAUGCAAUAACCUCAACUUUUGGGCUAUAUUGCAAAAGCAUAAACUUUUGGGGUCACUUUGUAAAAAACACAAAAGUCCACUACUUCAUGUAAUUACAACUAGAACCCAAAAAUUUCAACAAAUGCAAAA
rnacentral:lncRNA from 1 species